UCGAGGGGUAGAAGUCUUCGGACUUUGAGACCGGCGCACGGGUGCGUAACGCGUAUGCAAUCUACCUUGUACUGAGGGAUAGCCCAGAGAAAUUUGGAUUAAUACCUCAUAGUAUUUUCGGGUGACAUCACCUGAUUAUUAAAGUUCCAACGGUACAAGAUGAGCAUGCGUCCCAUUAGCUAGUUGGUAUGGUAACGGCAUACCAAGGCUAUGAUGGGUAGGGGUCCUGAGAGGGAGAUCCCCCACACUGGUACUGAGACACGGACCAGACUCCUACGGGAGGCAGCAGUGAGGAAUAUUGGUCAAUGGGCGAGAGCCUGAACCAGCCAUGCCGCGUGCAGGAUGACGCAUCUAUGGUGUGUAAACUGCUUUUGUACAGGAAGAAACCCCGCUACGUGUAGCGGCUUGACGGUACUGUAAGAAUAAGGAUCGGCUAACUCCGUGCCAGCAGCCGCGGUAAUACGGAGGAUCCAAGCGUUAUCCGGAAUCAUUGGGUUUAAAGGGUCCGUAGGCGGUUUUAUAAGUCAGUGGUGAAAUCCGGCAGCUCAACUGUCGAACUGCCAUUGAUACUGUAGGACUUGAAUUAUUGUGAAGUAACUAGAAUAUGUAGUGUAGCGGUGAAAUGCUUAGAUAUUACAUGGAAUACCGAUUGCGAAGGCAGGUUACUAACAAUAUAUUGACGCUGAUGGA
rnacentral:rRNA from 1 species